AUUGAACGCUGGCGGCAGGCUUAACACAUGCAAGUCGAGCGGAGAGAGGUAGCUUGCUACUGAUCUUAGCGGCGGACGGGUGAGUAAUGCUUAGGAAUCUGCCUAUUAGUGGGGGACAACAUUUCGAAAGGAAUGCUAAUACCGCAUACGUCCUACGGGAGAAAGCAGGGGAUCUUCGGACCUUGCGCUCAUAGAUGAGCCUAAGUCGGAUUAGCUAGUUGGUGGGGUAAAGGCCUACCAAGGCGACGAUCUGUAGCGGGUCUGAGAGGAUGAUCCGCCACACUGGGACUGAGACACGGCCCAGACUCCUACGGGAGGCAGCAGUGGGGAAUAUUGGACAAUGGGCGCAAGCCUGAUCCAGCCAUGCCGCGUGUGUGAAGAAGGCCCUAUGGUUGUAAAGCACUUUAAGCGAGGAGGAGGCUACUUUAGAUAAUACCUAGAGAUAGUGGACGUUACUCGCAGAAUAAGCACCGGCUAACUCUGUGCCAGCAGCCGCCGUAACAC
rnacentral:rRNA from 1 species